rnacentral:tRNA from 1 species
CAGUUGGUUAGAAUACCGGCCUGUCACGCCGGGGGUCGCGGGUUCGAGCCCCGUCCGCUCCGCCA